AAAAUAUAACUAUAUUUUAUAACUUUUAUAGACACUAAUUUUCAUACAAAACUUGAAAUUUUCAUACUAGUCGUGAGUACUAAAUGUAGGUAGCUCUGCAUAUCCUCUUUGGAAACAACUCCCACCAUUUUGAGUAAAGAAUUAUCUUAGUCCGAGACAUAGCUCAAUCAGUAAAAUGCUUCAUGUACAAAAGUGAGAACCUGGGUUCAAGGUAUAGAAUCCACCUAUAAAGGUGGGUGUGAUGAUUUGUUCUUCUAAUUGUGCUACUGUUGAGGUGGAAACUAGCAGAACACCAGAGCUGGUUAUGGGAGUCAAGACUGUUUGAUGAUCUCCAAGAACAGUGGGGUUUUUACCCCAUCUCAAAAAUCCUCUUUGCAUAUCUGCAAGGGAUUUAAAUUGCGUUUCUUAACCAAACAGAGUAGGCACUGUAAAUUUUGCAUACUAAAUUAAUUAUUCAUGAAGUGGAUUAACUAAUACAAAUUUAAAAUUUCUAGAUAAACCUUCCUAGCCCCUGAAGGCAGGGUGGGAGGAGUGCUCUUUCACACUAAGAACUGUGCAGGAUGUUAACAUUCAUUCAGCCAGAGGAAUUAUGAGCUCCCCUACUGACACCCCUCUACUCCAGAUCCAGUUCUACAUUUCACUUCAGAAAAGAACAGGACUCCAAGAAAAAACAACCAUACACAACAAACAAGAUACGCUAUGACAAGGCAAAAGCUCUCAUAUCAAACUGGACAAGGCAAUCCAAUAGGAGGAAAAGAAUGUUGUAUAACUGUUUUUACAGUUAUCUUUAUUUUGAACCAAUAAAAUCCUAAUAAUACCAAAAUUCCAUUGUAAUUUGAUUUUAAUGUUCAAUAGUAAAAGUAGUUUCUAAUUUAAUUAUGUUAAAGAAUAGAGAUGUUAUAGCUGGAUUCUCUUACUAAGUGAAAAUGUAUACUAUAAAUUUUUUUCUCUCUUAUAAUCUAUGUUUUUCCAAACACUAUAAGCAUGUCACAUAUAGCCUAGUACUAUUAUGUCUACUAUAUUAUUUAUAUUAUUAUAAUAGAUACAGCUCUGUUGGAUUGAUAGAAUUUUAACAGACGCUGACAAAUUUAUAAAGAGUUCCUUUUUCUUUCUAACCUUGUCUAUCUACCGGUGUGAGGGCUGUUUGCUCUAAUUAAAUGAGAUGUGUCGUAGCUCUCAGGAUAAAAUAUGAAACUAUUUCCAAUUUACCUGAUAGUGAGUUAAAUACUCUAGUUCCGUAUUUCUUGUAUAUUAUUCCAGUGGAUUUUUAAAGAUUUUACUGUAAAAACCUAUUUGUUUCAGUAUGAAGACUUUAAAAUAUUUUUGUCAUAGAUGAGUAAUAUCCAUUUUCCUAAUCUAUCAUUUGUCAUUUUCUUCAAUGUAUUGUGCUUCAUUGUCAUAACAAAGUUUUAAUGAAGUUAAAUCACAAUUUUGUCACCCCAUGGUAUAUCUCACUUACUAUACCACUUAGUACUUCAUAAAUUAUUAAUUCUAAUGCAUUAUAAUUUAUAUUAUAUAACUCUGCUUUUUUUCAGGUUACUUAAUUUGACAGUUUUCUUUAGGUAAUUUACAGAAGAGACCUAAAUGAAUUGAUUACAUUACAUUUACUCUGCAAACAACAAAUCUUAAAUUAUUCAUUCACUGUUCCUCUUUAAGAAAUUUUACAACUGAGUGUACGUGUAUGUGAUCCAUUGCAGGAAAAAAAACAUAAUAUGAUAUUUAUUUUAUGACAUUAGAACUUGUCAUGACAUUUAAUAAGUUUUUGUUGAAUAUAUUGAAACAGGUUCGAAAGAGGAAAUUUGACCUCAUUAUUAAUUGGUAAAUGAAUUUUCCGUAAUUUUUUUAUUGCACUAUAACACACCCAAAUUCUGUGGUGUCAUGCAUGAUUUAUUUUAUCUCUCAGGUCUAAGAGUUGAUGGGCUUCAUAUGAGGGUACAUGGGGAAUGUUUCGUCUGGGUAUAGUCAAGGGGUACCUGGACUCAUCAUUGCAGGUCCAACUCACUAAGUGUCUGAAUCCCAGCUGGAGUGCUUGCAACCCCGAGCAACUGGUUUCCUCGAUCCAACUUUCUGUGUCCUUGAGCUCACUUCUGUCUCCAAUCUAAUUGAAUUUAUUUUCGGGCCUGGGACUCAACCAGGUGUGAAAUGCCAAGUCUUUAUUUGAUAUAUGAAGAAAAUCUCCACCUAUCUGCUAGCUUCCUUUCCUUCCAAGACUUUCAUAGAUCAUCCCAUAUUUAAGCCAAAAGGUGGGCUUUGGUCGUACAGAACAUACAGCUCAAAGCUCAUGCCUUCAAUUUUAAGUUUUUAUGCUUCACUUUCAUAUUUUUGGCAUAUGCCUUUUUCCUUUCCCUGGUUUCUCUUUAAGUACCAUCACAAACAUCAGCCAGAUAAAGGUUCUUUCUUAUUUCAAACGUCCCCAGGAAGAAACACUAACCUGUCCUGCUCCAAUCAGCUGCCCAUUUCAUGGCUGGUUGGUAUCUCAACUGCAGUUUAAGCUUAAAUGUUACAAAAGUUAACUGACAAAUUAUUAUUACUUCUUGAAAAAAAAUAGUUUUUAAACUGCCUUUUCUUUUGUCUUGAUUGCCUGUGUCUGAAUCAAGCGAAAACUGUGUGAUCGUUCUAAUUACCCAAGAAAAAGAAAGCAGAAACCACAUUAUUAAGACACAGGCAGUGAAACAUUGAAACUGUGAAUAUGUAAAAGGAAAUUAUGAGAGAGACAAGACUAAUAGAAUUUUUAGGUUCCAGGAGAACCAUGGAUGGACAUAGGAAAGAGAUCUAAGAUGUCCGGAAAAGUGGUUAUUUAGCCCAUCACUGAUGUUGUAAAAAAAAAAAAAAAAAAA